rnacentral:rRNA from 1 species
GACGAACGCUGGCGGCGUGCUUAACACAUGCAAGUCGAACGGAAAGGCCCUGCUUGCAGGGUACUCGAGUGGCGAACGGGUGAGUAACACGUGGGUGAUCUGCCCUGCACUUCGGGAUAAGCCUGGGAAACUGGGUCUAAUACCGGAUAGGAGCCAUUUUUAGUGUGAUGGUUGGAAAGUUUUUUCGGUGUAGGAUGAGCUCGCGGCCUAUCAGCUUGUUGGUGGGGUAAUGGCCUACCAAGGCGGCGACGGGUAGCCGGCCUGAGAGGGUGGACGGCCACAUUGGGACUGAGAUACGGCCCAGACUCCUACGGGAGGCAGCAGUGGGGAAUAUUGCACAAUGGGCGCAAGCCUGAUGCAGCGACGCCGCGUGGGGGAUGACGGCCUUCGGGUUGUAAACUCCUUUCGCUAGGGACGAAGCUUUUUGUGACGGUACCUAGAUAAGAAGCACCGGUUAACUACGUG